rnacentral:rRNA from 1 species
UACAGAGGUCUCAAGCGUUGUUCGGAUUCAUUGGGCGUAAAGGGGUGCGUAGCGGCGCGGUAAGUCGGGUGUGAAAUUUCGAGGCUUAACUUCGAAACUGCAUUCGAUACUGCCGUGCUUGAGGACUGGAGAGGAGACUGGAAUUUACGGUGUAGCGGUGAAAUGCGUAGAUAUCGUAAGGAAGACCAGUGGCGAAGGCGGGUCUCUGGACAGUUCCUGACGCUGAGGCACGAAGGCCAGGGGGAGCAAACGGG